UUGGUCUUUGUUUUGUACCAAUGAAGCCCAUUAUUUUCAUUACAGCAUCAAAGCAUUAUUAUAUUAUAUAUUGUUUUGUCCACAUCUUCAAAUUUUCCACAUGAAAAUUAAAGCCACAUGGUAUUACAACUUUCAUACUUUUCGGUGCAACAUGGUUAUUGGUUGGGAAUACGGUUCUCAUUUUUUACUAGUCCUUUUUUU
rnacentral:lncRNA from 1 species